CCUGCGACUGUUUACUAAAAACACAGGUCUCUGCUAAGUCGUAAGACGAUGUAUAGGGACUGACACCUGCCCGGUACUGGAAGGUUAAGAGGAAGUGUUAUCCAUUCGCAAGAAUGGAGAAGCAGCGAAUUGAAGCCCCAGUAAACGGCGGCCCUAACUAUAAGGGUCCUAAGGUAGCGAAAUUCCUUGUCGGGUAAUUUCCGACCUGCACGAAUGUUGUAACGCUGGGAGCACUGUCUCAACGAGGGACUCGGUGAAUUUGUGAUACCAGUAAAGACGCUGGUUACCUACAGCAAGACGAAAAGACCCCGGAACCUUUACUGUACCCUAACAUUGAAUUUUAAGAUGAUAUGUGUAGCAUAGGUGGGAGGCGAUGAAACUGGCUCGUCAGGGUUAGUGGAGCCGUCAGUGAAAUACCACUCUUAUCAUUUUGAAGUUCUAACCUGAUCCUGUAAACCAGGAGAGGGACAGUGUUAGGCGGGCAGUUUGACUGGGGCGGUUGCCUCAUAAAAAGUAACUGAGGCGCCCAAAGGUUUCCUCAACGUGUUUGGUAAUCACGUGAAGAGUGUAAAAGCAUAAGGAAGCCUGACUGCGAGACCGACGGGUCGAGCAGAGUGGAAACACGGGUUUAGUGAUCCGGUGAUUCUGUAUGGAAGGGUCAUCGCUCAACGGAUAAAAGGUACUCCGGGGAUAACAGGCUGAUCUUGCCCAAGAGUUGAUAUCGACGGCAAGGUUUGGCACCUCGAUGUCGGCUCAUCGCAUCCUGGGGCUGAAGUCGGUCCCAAGGGUUGGUCUGUUCGCCCAUUAAAGCGGUACGCGAGCUGGGUUUAGAACGUCGUAAGACAGUUCGGUCUCUAUCUGCUGUAGGCGUUGGAUAUUUGAAGGGAAGCUAUCCCUAGUACGAGAGGAUUGGGAUGGACGAACCACUGGUGUUCCAGUUGUUCCGCCAGGAGCAAUAGCUGGGUAGCUAUGUUCGGAAAGGAUAAGUGCUGAAAGCAUCUAAGCGCGAAGCCUCUCCCAAGAUAAGAUAUCCCUUCGCUAUAAGCGAACUAAAGAUUCCAGGAAGACUACCUGGUUGAUAGGCCAAAUGUGUAAGUCCAGUAAUGGAUUAAGCUAAUUGGUACUAAUCAAUCGUGAGGCUUGACCAU
rnacentral:rRNA from 1 species